CUAGUUGAGACAGUCACGAAGCCCCACCCAGUUUCAAAGAAGGGGACAGAGACUCCAUUUCCUGAUGUGUGAGUGGCAAGGUUCUGGAAGAGUAUGUGGAAUGGAAAGCAUUAUUGCAACCAUUUGGGGAAAAUACAACUUGCUGCUGGCAGGAAGGUCAUUUCAGGCAGAGAUCUUCAUUGAUGGUACCUUCAGAAAUGCAUUUUUAGGAAAGAAAGUGGUUUUUACAGACUUGGCAUUGCUAAGGGAAAACAUAAGGUUUUAGAAGUAUUUACUGAGCCAUCUUCACCAAGACUUAUGAGAAACAUUUCUUCGAAGAGAAGAUGCUGAGGAAGAGGAAGAUGACUUUUGAAGUGGACUCCAAGGGGCAGACAGGAGGCUGGGAUGGAUGGCAGCUCACAGCUGGCAAAGGCAGUGGACUAGCAAUCAUGGGUGAAGGCCUACCAAGACUGAUUCUUAGAGGGGGGAGAAUUGACUUUGUGUUCUUAUAGCAAGUGACCAGGAAUAACCAGAUGCUGUGUCCAAGCUGAGUCCUCAAAAACAGUAGUAGGCAGGGGGGGUUGACUCAUGGGUUGGUAGGAAGAAUUUACUGACAACAGUAUAGGUUUGAAAAAGGAAAGUUUUAUUAGAAAGAAAGAACGUGCCUUUCCAGCCCCCCACCCGGACCCUACAGCCACCGAGAUGUUGAUGCCUAAGAAGAACUGGAUUGCCAUUUAUGAACUCCUUUUUAAGGAGGGAGUCAUGGUGGCCAAGAAGGAUGUCCACAUGCCUAAGCACCCGGAGCUGGCAGACAAGAAUGCGCCCAACCUUCGUGUCAUGAAGGCCAUGCAGUCUCUCAAGUCCCGAGGCUACGUGAAGGAAGUUUGCCUGGAGACAUUUCUACUGGUACCUUACCAAUGAGGGUAUCCAGUAUCUCUGUGAUUACCUUCAUCUGCCCUCGGAGAUUGUGCCUGCCACCUUACACCGCAGCUGUCCAGAGACUGGCAGGCCUUGGCCUAAAGUCUGGAGGGUGAGCGACCUGCAAGACUCACAAGAGGGGAAGCCAACAGAGAUACCUACAAACGGAGUGCUGUGCCCCCUGGUGCCAACAAGAAAGCCGAGGCUGGGGCCGGGUCAGCAACCAAAUUCCAGUUCAGAGAUGGAUUUGGUUGUGGACGUGGUCAGCCACCUCAGUAAAAUUGGAGAGGAUUAUUAUGCGAUGAAUAAACUUACAGUCAAAAAAAAAAAAGAAAGAAAGCUGCAGAAGAGUGCAGUGAGGUGCCUCAGCAUGAGAAAAGUAGACAGGGUCUCGCUCUGCCAUCCAGGAGAGAGUGCAGCGGUGUGAUCAUAGCUCACUGUAACUUGUAACUUCUGGACUCAAGCAAUCCUCCCACCUCAGCCUUCCGAGUAGCUUGCCUUGUUCUGAUGCCCAGUCUGGAGUGCAGUGGUGUGAUCUUGGCUCACUGCAACCUCCACCCAGCUGGAGUGAAGUGGCACGAUCUCGGCUCACUGCAACCUCUGUCUCCCGGGUUCAAGCAAUUCUCCUGCCUCAGCCUCCCAGUUUUCUUUUUCUUUCUUUCUUACUUUUUUUUUUCCUCCUAAAGGUUGAGCUUGGCUAAAGGAGUGUUGCUAAUGGUUUCCCAAUUUAGUUUCAAGGGGAUUGGCAGCAGGGUUUUCCAGGCCACAAAGGCUGAAGGGGGACAUACUAUUAGUCUGUCUCACUCCUCCCAGAAACUCAGUCUGGGUUUACUGUAAUUUCAUCUUAGUCUCGUCAAAGGCACUCCAGAUGAGGAGAUUCUGAGCUGGGGUAUUUCUUCCUACCCCUCCCAGACAGAUUGCAAGGUUUUUCCAAUACUGCAUUCUCCCUGGGGCUCUCCCUGGUUGGCGUGGAGAGAAAAGCGCCAGCAGGGGUCAGCAGUGUCCCACAUCUGGCCGGGAGCUGCUUGCCACAUGUGCUGUUUCUUCUGGCACGGCACUGUCAGAGAUACUGGGGAAAUUGGCGAGCACCGUUCCAUUGAGGCGUUAGCAUCAUUAUGAGCAUCGCAGGCUCAAGAUUCCUCUCCCUGAAAGUGGGGUGGGCUGGAUGAGUGGAGGGUGUGUUCUUUAUAAGCACUAUGUGGGGUGUGGGUGUAGAAUCCAGACAUCAGCAAUGCCAACUCACCAUCUGGUUUUCUAUCGGGAGGUUUUGGACCUGGGAUUUCUGGAUUCACCCGGUAUCCAGGCUCUCCCAGAGCGGCACUUUAGCUGGCCAAGGCCUGGAGCAGAGUGUGUGCAGCGCUCCCACGGCCGCCUGCCCGGGCCUGCCCCCGACACAUGCUUAGUGGAAUUCUCCCGUGGCAGCCCAGAGUCUCCGGAACGAAGGUCUCCACAGCCAAAGCCACGCAAGAGGCUCUCCUGCUCUCAUUUCCAGACGCACCCUCAUCCUUGGCCUCUCCCUGCCUCAGUUCUCUUUGACUCCUCCGGUCCUUGUUUUUCUGACCUGGCUUUGGCAAGGCCUGAGCACCUGGCCUGCUUUCCCAGGAGUACAGUUACAGCAGCUGAUCUAGGGAACAGGUGUGGGCUCCGUGUCACAGCUGCUGCUGAGCACAUCUGUACCCACAGUGAGGAGGCUGCAGCUGCAGCAGGGCCUGUCAGUCACUCAUACUCUCCCCGGAGUUGGGCUGGGGGCACUGAAAGGGGCUGGAGUGCAAUGGCACAAUCAUGGCUCACUGCGCCCUCCACCUCCCAGGCUCAAGCCAUCCUCCUAUCUCAGCCUCCUGAGUAGUUGAGACAACAGGCAUGUGCCACCAUGUCUGGCUAAUAUUUUAAUAAAAUUUUUUGUAGAGACAGGUUCUCCAUAUGUUGCCCAGGCUUUGAUUCUUCUAAUGCUCGGUAUUAAGACUCUAUGACUGUGUAUUAUACAUAGAGUUUACAUGUGAGUAAGUUCUGGGUGGAGAGACACUAUUCCUUGCUAGGGCCUUAAGAGUCUGGCUGCAGCUCUGCUAUCACAUGGGCAAAACCAGCUACAUAAUUUACAAGAUCCAGUGCAAAAUAAAAAUGUGACAUUUCUUGUUAAAAAUCAUUGUGAAUUUCAAGAUGGCAACAACAAAGCAUUAAACCAAGCAGGGGGCCUUUCUAAGCUUGAGCCCCCGUGUGACUGCACAGGUCAUAUGCCCAUGAAGCUGGCUCUGCAGAGACUAGCUGACCGUUGGACUGGCUGUGUCCUGGAUUCUUUUAGUUAAUGCAUUCCAGCAUCAAUAGAGUAUCUGCCAGGGUUUUGAGAGUUAAGCUGGUCGGUCCUUAGUGGAUGUUUAAAGUGUUCAGUGUCACCUUCUUUGUUCCCAGACAACUUCCCCAUUUCUGUGUCUUGCUGUAAAAGACCAUAAUGCCUUUUCUUCCCUCCAUGGACUGGAGCUGCCUUUAUCUCCUGGAGCUGGGAAGUUCAGAUCAUUUGUAGAGGGGCCCCUGGUUUCCCCAUAAGACAGAAUGUUAUUCUUUAAUCUGAAUUGGCUGGUAAUCAAAUUCUAGGAGAUAGUUCCUGAUCUUCCCAGUUUUCAGGUGGGUUAACUGAGGACCGGCUUGCCCACACCACUUAGGCUAGAUAGAACAAGUAAUUAAAGCCCAGAAAUAGCUGGCUGAGAUCCAGCCUGUUUAAUGUAAUAAUGCUGAGAAAUGUCAAACGUGGUUUUGUUCCAAUAGGAGUGGAAGGGAUGAAGAGAGACAGGAAGAAAGCACUCUAUGUAGUUUCUGGAGUUGGCUGUAGAAGGACGAAAGGACUCCUCAGGGGCUGCGGAAAGGAAGCCAUCUAUGUGCUGGGCGGUGACUGAGCUGUGCAUGGAACCCUGCGCAAGGGGCUUGGAGGGGCAGUGUAUGAGAGCAGAAUGUGGCAUCUCUUUCUGUUUUAGCUUGCAGGGUACUUCUAGGCGGUUGGUGCUCUCUCCUGGGCCUGGUGGAUGGAAGGGAGCAGGCAGGGAGGGGUGGGGCAGGCCCUGCCUACAGAGCCUGUCAGUAGGGAACCAGUGAGUCACCAGAAGUCCAAUACCUCAGUCCAGAUCCUGGAUGCUGUUGGAUCACGGGAUCUGUCUGAGCAUCAGUUUCCUUUUCUGAAAAGUAGGGAUGAUAACAGCCUAGGACGGUGGGUGAAUCAGUGAGGUAAUGCACAGGAACACGCAUAGUAAAUAGUUUUUGCCAGAGUGGGUGCAGGCUCUGAGAACCACUCCCCAGACCCCCAUGAAAUGCCGGCAGCUCCAGCCACACCCCAGCUCACUUUGGAGGCCUGCUCGAGGCUCACCGCCUCCAGGAAGGCUUCCCCCUGAGCCCACCACUGUCACCCACCCCUGGUGCCCUCUCCGCUUGGCUCCACCAGUACCUAGUGAUAUUGCUCAGGGUGCACACCCUCAGCCGUUACAGGCCUUUCUCCCCUCCCUCAGCACUUAGGUUGUGUUCCCCAGGCAGGGGCUUUGUCUCUCCCAUCAGGCGAGAGCUCCCUCGGGAAUACUCCAGAACACAGCCCCUCGAGUUCUAGGGCUGUAUCAGAAGUCAGUACAUAAAAACAAAGAAUCUGGAUUCUAACCACUUAGAUUCUCCAGAGUCAUAAUGUGUUAGGAAGGAGUGAAUGAGAAAUAAUUUUUUUGCCCCUCUGGUCUCCCAUGUGACUGAGAUUGCCUGAGAUGUGUGUGCAGACUCUCAAAGAAAAAGUUGUAUAAUUGUCAGGCAUUGGAUCUUGUUUUCAUCUUGGUAAACCAAAUCCUGGAGAUGGAAUACAGCUGCUAUCUCAGCAGCUGGUUCCAGCUUGUGAUGUGCCUGUGUCCAGCAGAGCCCACGGCAGCCUUAUGAAAGCCCUCCUCAGUCUGUUUCUAGAAUCUCCUCUGAAUCCAUAAGAAACCGCCCAGAGCUUAGCCCAUCAGCCCUGCUGACAGGCUGGGCCAGUCCAGAUGCUCCACCAAGGCCUGGAUUCUGGCUCUUUCACUCAGUUCACUCAUCUGCCCCUGAGUCAUCCAGAGAAAGGGGUUUGGGGAGAGUCCGGAGCAGACAGCAAAGCAGGGAAUCAAGGAAGCUCUUGACCAACUGGCAGGCAGCCCAAGUCCUGGCAUCCCACGGGAGAGGAGAAGGGCCCCUGCCUUUCCAAACCAAAGGCUCACAUGAGUGAAGGAUGGGCCUGAAAUCCUCACUCUGGAAGCAACUGACCAAGGUCCUGAGCACAUAUUAUGGGAUGACCCCAAAGUUAUGUUAUGUAGCUUGAUUCUCACAACCAUCCCAUGGGGAAGACAUUUUUCUUUUUUCUUUCUUUUGUUUUUGAGAUGGAUUCUCGCUUUGUCACCCUGGUUGGAGUGCAGUGGCACGAUCUCAGCUCACUGCAACCUUCGGCUCCCAGGUUCAAGCAAUUCUCCUGCCUCAGCCUCCAGAGUGGCUGGGAUUACAGGUGCGCACCAUCAUACCCAGCCAAUUUUUGUAUUUUUAGUGGAGAUGGGAUUUCACCCUAUUGGCCAGGCUGUUCUCAAACUACGCCUCCGCCAUCCCGGUGCCUCGUGCCUCUUCCCAGACCAGGAUUCCUACACCGGGCGCUUCUCCCCAGCUGCGGCCACGCCAGGCCGGCCUGGCCCUGAGCCCACAGAGAGCAGCCUCCCCCAGACUGGGAAAGGCUGCAGGUCCUUCUAGAAACUCCUCUCCUAGGGCCUUCCGGGGGAGAGGCUCUCCCAAGUUUGCUGGGGCGGUGAGGGAGUCAGCUGAGGAUGGGGAAGGCCCCUUCAGCUCCCCAUGGAAUAGUCCCAGGACAACCCCGAAAGCAGCCCUCUCCAGCCGGGCUGGAUCCGGAAGAAUUGGCGAGAGACAAGGCACCCAGGGAAAGAAGAAAAAAGCCCAGGAAGGGACUCCAGUCUGCCAGACCCGGGGCAGAAGCCCUUCUCGGACGAGCUUUCACGGAGAAACUCAAAUACCAGGGGCUCCGGAAGGUCGGAAGCCUCCAAGCUGCCCAGGAAAAGACCAAAGAGAUAUAAACUACAAAAGUUCUGGGACCCCCAGGUCUUUGGAGCCUGAUGAGGGGGCAGCUUCGUGGGCUUCCUCUCCAGUCUGCAGCCCAGUGCAGGGCAAGCGCCCCUCUCCCUCUCCGGGGGCCAUUAGCUUCUCCUCAGUCCAUCAGCAGAGUCAGCCAGUCACAGCCACGGUGGCCCCCUUCCAGUACAGGUGAGCUGGGGAGCUAAGUACACUAAAUUUUAAUUACUAAUUAUUAUAUAGUUUAGAAAUGCCCAAAUGCAAAUUAAGUAUCUUCCUGACUAAACUAACUUCCUAUAUUUUUUCCCCUAUGCUAAUGGAAGGAGAAACUCUCACUUAUAUUUUGGGCAUAGAAAAGCUUGUACAUCAUCCCUUACACACCAGGGACCUCUGAGGCAUCAGAGCGGCUGGAGGUGGGGGUAGGGAACCACUAGGAGCUUUAACCUUCAGCAGAAGGCAACUUGUGUAUCUUAAUCUCUGAAAAAUUGAAUGCAAUUUAAUAUUACAGGACUAGGCCUUUGGAGUUCAGGACAAGGAAGUGAAUGGUCCCAAUACACUCUGCACAUGUUUAGGCUUCAUUUAGACUGUUACAUUCAGUUGUGAACACCACGUUUUAAAAGGACAUCGACAUACAAAAACACAUGUAGAGCAAGACUGACACGUUGCUGGGGGAUCAAAAAAGGUGUUAUAGGAUGAUGAAAGGAACUGAAGAAGUUUGCUUUGGAAAGGAAGGCUUAGAGAGGGUCUGAGCACUGUUUUUGUAUUUUUAGUAGAGACGGGGUUUCACUGUGUUAGCCAGGAUGGUUUCAAUCUCCUGACCUCGCGAUCUGCCCGCCUCAGCCUCCCAAAGUGCCAGGAUUACAGGCGUGAGCCAUUGCACCCAACCCAUUUGCCAAUUUUUUAUAAAGCACUUACUGUGUUCCAGGUGUUAUUCUAGAAGCUUGGAAUACAUUUGUGGACAAAAUAGGCAAAGACUUCUACACUUGUGGGCCCUUUAUGAUGUAGCCUAGAGCUGUGCAGUGUACAACCUGUGCAGCUGUACGUGAUCUACAUGGUGGCCCUGGAGAAGCCCCAGCUCUGGAAUAUGUCUCCCACCCUAAGGAGCAGGAGCAGAGCUUUGGCCUCAUGACAUUCCUGGGACUAUAAGCAACAGCAGUCUGUGGGCCACCCCCCUUCGCCCUGAGUGCUUGAAUAGAUGAGGAAGGUGAUAAACUUUCCCCUGUAGUUUUCCUAGAGAAUUACCCCCUAUACCCAAUACCUACCUGUCCUUGACUUGGCAGCCUCUUAGCAGAUUUUUAGAGACUCCACUCUCCAACCU
rnacentral:lncRNA from 1 species